ensembl:lncRNA
GAAGAUCUUACACAAGCUUAAAAAGGUCUUAAAAUAAGCAGGAAUUAUAAGCACAAAUUCCAAUGUCUUUCUGGGGCAUUUGUCUGCAUGAACCUUCUGAGGACAGCAAGAUGUGGAGGGAGACACAGGUCUGCUCAACAGUAGCUUUGCUCUUGAAACUUUUCAAAGAGAUCAAUUUCAGGAAAAGAGACAAAGGUAUAUUUAACUGGGAGAAGCAGACCACAAAAAUAUAAGACAAAAUUGUUUCCCAUCAUUUUGCUGCUACUCUGUGCAAUGGCUUUCAGAACUGAAAUUGAGAAGAAAGAGACGACUGUGGAAAUUUUAUUUUUCCUUUGAGAAAAAAAGAGUCCUAAAGAAUAAGUUUUAAAAGGAUGGUACCUGGAUUAAUUGGGCAAUAUGAUGGCUGUAUUCCCACCUUUACUGUUAAUGGUCUCAGAGGUGGUGGCACACUGCCUGUCGUGCUGCUCUGUUGGCUGUGUUUUGCUGUAUUAUAUUCAUAUAAAUUAACAUAAGGGUCUGAUGGCAGCACCAAUCUGAUGACUAUGGCUCAGACCUUCAUGAUCAUAUGUGCCCUCAUGCAGAGGAAAUACAUACAUGGCACAGACAAAAAGGGUCAACACAUGUUUUAUGUGUGCAACAUAACCUUGGAACAUAGAUCCAUGGGGCAAAAUUGUACUUCAGGCAACAUUUGAAUGAAUCAGAGAAAACAAAGCUUUUAGAACACAGUCCUGCUCCUUUCACCUGACAACUGGCUGUCAAAGGCUGCCAAAUGUGAACGCACAACACAAUCUCUGCAGAAAGGAAACCUGUGCUGGCUAUUCACAAACUUCUAUACAUUCAGUGCUGUGUAAACACUGCUUUCUUAUGCACAUUUGGCUUGCUAAAUGUGGGAAGGUGUACUGUGCAAUAAGGCAAGUAGGAGUACACUGAAAUCAGUGCUAUGAGGAGCCAUAAAUAUUUUAGUUUUCAUUUUCCCUACUGCCAGGAAAAUAAUUACUUAUAGAUGAAACAAUGAGUUUACAUCUCAGAGAAUUGUUUUUAUUUCAAAUGACUUUUAAUAUUUGCAUUGAAGUGACAGCUUUGAGUCCCCAAAAAUUACAGAAACUGAUUCAUAUUCUUGCUUUGGACACUCCUCAGUGAAACUGAGUGAUGAUAGCAGCAGAUUAAUAAUGCAAGUUAAGAAACAAUGAACAAGGAAGCCAUGGUCUCAGUAUGAAUAUAAAUAUAUUCCAGCUUUGUAAGACCUUACUUAUGUGAGUUAGGCCCAUUGAUUUCAAUGAAACUAUUCAGAUGUACAACUACUCACAUUUUGAACAUUAAUAUGACAACAGACUACAUUCACAGUGUGGUGAAAUAAUGAAGUGCUAAAAUUCUUCUUGUCUAUGUAGCUUUAAUUGAGUCCCUUAGCAUGGAAGAUACUCCUCAUUAACAAACCGGUUUUCUUCAUUAUCCUAUGCACCAUAGAAACAUUCACAACAUAUGAGGAACAGACAAGGAUAGCACUAAUGCAUGAAUAACAUUAGAUCUGACAUCAAGAACUAUUCUUUGCAUAUGAAAUAGGACUCAUUUAAAUGCAAUUUUUAAAAUUAAUGCCAAUAAAAUUUUAGCUCAUAUGACA